GAUGAACGCUGGCGGCGUGCCUAAUACAUGCAAGUCGAGCGAACAGACGAGGAGCUUGCUCCUCUGACGUUAGCGGCGGACGGGUGAGUAACACGUGGAUAACCUACCUAUAAGACUGGGAUAACUUCGGGAAACCGGAGCUAAUCCCGGAUAAUCUAUUGAACCGCAUGGUUCAAUAGUGAAAGACGGUUUUGCUGGCAGUUAUAGAUGGAUCCGCGCCGCAUUAGCUAGUUGGUAGGGUAACGGCCUACCAAGGCAACGAUGGGUAGCCGGCCUGAGAGGGUGACCGGCGAGAUUGGGACUGAGAGAGGGCCCAGACUCGUAGGGGAGGGAGGAGUGGGGAAUAUUGCACAAUGGGAGGAAGAAUGAUGCAGAAACGUCGCGUGCGGGAUGAAGGCAUUCGGGUUGUAAACCGCUUUCGCCUGUGAAGAAGCGUGAGUGACGGUAAUGGGUAAAGAAGCACGGGCUAACUACGUG
rnacentral:rRNA from 1 species